rnacentral:rRNA from 1 species
GUGUGUUCCAGGUAAAUCCGGUUCACUUUAACACUGAGGCGUGACGACGAGGCACUACGGUGCUGAAGCAACAAAUGCCCUGCUUCCAGGAAAAGCCUCUAAGCAUCAGGUAACAUCAAAUCGUACCCCAAACCGACACAGGUGGUCAGGUAGAGAAUACCAAGGCGCUUGAGAGAACUCGGGUGAAGGAACUAGGCAAAAUGGUGCCGUAACUUCGGGAGAAGGCACGCUGACACGUAGGUGAAGUGAUUUACUCAUGGAGCUGAAGUCAGUCGAAGAUACCAGCUGGCUGCAACUGUUUAUUAAAAACACAGCACUGUGCAAACACGAAAGUGGACGUAUACGGUGUGACGCCUGCCCGGUGCCGGAAGGUUAAUUGAUGGGGUCAGCGCAAGCGAAGCUCCUGAUCGAAGCCCCGGUAAACGGCGGCCGUAACUAUAACGGUCCUAAGGUAGCGAAAUUCCUUGUCGGGUAAGUUCCGACCUGCACGAAUGGCGUAAUGAUGGCCAGGCUGUCUCCACCCGAGACUCAGUGAAAUUGAACUCGCUGUGAAGAUGCAGUGUACCCGCGGCAAGACGGAAAGACCCCGUGAACCUUUACUAUAGCUUGACACUGAACAUUGAGCCUUGAUGUGUAGGAUAGGUGGGAGGCUUUGAAGUGUGGACGCCAGUCUGCAUGGAGCCGACCUUGAAAUACCACCCUUUAAUGUUUGAUGUUCUAACGUGGACCCGUUACCCGGGUUGCGGACAGUGUCUGGUGGGUAGUUUGACUGGGGCGGUCUCCUCCUAAAGAGUAACGGAGGAGCACGAAGGUUGGCUAAUCCUGGUCGGACAUCAGGAGGUUAGUGCAAUGGCAUAAGCCAGCUUGACUGCGAGCGUGACGGCGCGAGCAGGUGCGAAAGCAGGUCAUAGUGAUCCGGUGGUUCUGAAUGGAAGGGCCAUCGCUCAACGGAUAAAAGGUACUCCGGGGAUAACAGGCUGAUACCGCCCAAGAGUUCAUAUCGACGGCGGUGUUUGGCACCUCGAUGUCGGCUCAUCACAUCCUGGGGCUGAAGUAGGUCCCAAGGGUAUGGCUGUUCGCCAUUUAAAGUGGUACGCGAGCUGGGUUUAGAACGUCGUGAGACAGUUCGGUCCCUAUCUGCCGUGGGCGCUGGAGAACUGAGGGGGGCUGCUCCUAGUACGAGAGGACCGGAGUGGACGCAUCACUGGUGUUCGGGUUGUCAUGCCAAUGGCACUGCCCGGUAGCUAAAUGCGGAAGAGAUAAGUGCUGAAAGCAUCUAAGCACGAAACUUGCCCCGAGAUGAGUUCUCCCUGAGACUUAAAGUCUCCUGAAGGAACGUUGAAGACGACGACGUUGAUAGGCCGGGUGUG